rnacentral:lncRNA from 1 species
AACUGGAAGAUGUGCUUCAGGAAUGUACUGAAUGUACUCCAACAGAUUUGGUUAUUGCCCUGGAAGGCAAAUAUCUGGGCAGACUGUAAGACUUAUGCUCGCAGCAUGGGACAGCUCUCGUAAAGGUGAUUCAGGGUAGCUUCUGGAAAACAAGACAUCAGAUCUCCAAAACAGCUUUCUUUGUGCUAAUGUAGGAAGAGCGAGUAAGAGUCAAGGAACAGAAUGGCUUGGACACAACUGCGCCUAUGACCGAGUUCAUUCAAGCUGGUGGACAAGGUAAAAGCUCUGGGCAAGCGAAGGGGAGGGAUGGACAUACAAUAUGAUCACUUUAAUCUCAUUCCUCUAAGAAUCCUUGCUGAGAAAACAAAAAAAAACAGAAUCAAAAAGAACAGAACAGAGCAAAUGAAGCAAGCAGCUAGCUUGCUGGAGACAUGGUCUGGGAAACAGUGAAAACACUUGGAGACAAAAAACAUACCAAAGGACUAACUCUUUGAGCUUAAUUCUACUCAAACAGCAUAACCUCAAACUCCUGUUUCUGUUCGUAACAGGCUGUUACAGUAACAUGUCACAUUGGAUGACUUUGCAGCAUAGAUGUCAGGAAUGCAGCUUGGGAUCACCUCCUUCUACUGAGAGUUCAGUUUGAAGGGAUGAGCAAGUAAUUUUUCCUGGGUUGACGGAAAUCUAAAGUCUGUGUUCUAACCCUCUUACAGACACUUCUCUGUCCAUCGGCCUGUCCUGCCAACUCUGGUGUGAGUGUGAAGUUGUGGCAAGAGGGCUUUCCCAGUCCUAUUUGACCUGGUGGACACCAGCUUUCCUAGGAAAUUGCUGAUGUUGCUGAGGAGGCAGCAGUAUCACAGCCCUUGUCGAUGAAGGUACAACAAGCUGGGGAGGCUUUGGCAUUUCUGCACAAUGCUGCUCCCUGAUUGUCACUCAAGACUCAGAUUCUGAAAGAAGCAAAGCAAGCUAGAGGAAAACUGUAUGUCCCGUAUCCAAAACUCCGUGUUACAGCGGAUCUUCUGCUCUGAUCUGAAAAGCUUCACAGGCCAAAAGAGAAUUGAGAUGACGAAGGAAAUAGAGAAUGCUGACCAAUAUUUCCAAUUACCACCUGUAUUAGGUGAAGAAGAACACUGAAACCAGCUGAAGCCAUAUCGGACACAUGCUUCUGCCAGGAAGUAAUUCAGAGUGAUUCCACG